UGCAGGCAUCCAACACGCGUCUCUCCGCCCACGCGGAAAAGGCUCAUCGCAACCUGGUGCCCCAGGCCCUCGCGAAGGCCCUGAGGAAAUGGGCUCCAGGAGGCUGAAGAUGACUGUCCCUCCCCCAGCUGGGGCUGUUGAGAGAGGGCUGUCCCUGCCCCACUCGUGUGCAGGGUCCUUUUCUCGAUCCCGGAGCAGGCAGAGCGGGGCAAGCCCCGAGAUAAGCGCGACGGUUGGGUAAGGAGCCCGAACCUUUUGAAGGCCGCCGCUUGCACAAGGAGUGUCCGGGGCCCCGCGGAGGGAACCCGCGGGGCGG